rnacentral:rRNA from 1 species
AAGCUUCGGCAGAUUUAGCUUGUUUCUAGUGGCGGACGGGUGAGUAACGCGUGGGUAACCUGCCUUAUACUGGGGGAUAACAGCCAGAAAUGACUGCUAAUACCGCAUAAGCGCACAGAACCGCAUGGUUCAGUGUGAAAAACUCCGGUGGUAUGAGAUGGACCCGCGUCUGAUUAGCUAGUUGGUGGGGUAACGGCCUACCAAGCCGACGAUCAGUAGCCGACCUGAGAGGGUGACCGGCCACAUUGGGACUGAGACACGGCCCAGACUCC